UAUCUCAAUUAUAACUAUCAACAACGGAUCUCUUGGCUCUCACAUCGAUGAAGAACGCAGCGAACCGCGAUAUUUUUUGUGACUUGCAGAUGUGAAUCAUCAAUCUUUGAACGCACAUUGCGCGGUAUGGCAUUCCGUACCGCACGGAUGGAGGAGCGUGUUCCCUCUGGGAUCGCAUUGCUUUCUUGAAAUGGAUUUUUUUAAACUCUCAAUUAUUACGUCAUUUCACCUCCUUCAUCCGAGAUUACCCGCUGAACUUAAGCAUAUCAAUAAGCGGAGGAAAAGAAACCAACAGGGAUUGCCUCAGUAACGGCGAGUGAAGCGGCAAAAGCUCAAAUUUGAAACCCUCGGGAUUGUAAUUUGAAGAUUUGGCAUUGGAGAAAGCUAACCCAAGUUGCUUGGAAUAGUACGUCAUAGAGGGUGACAACCCCGUCUGGCUAACCGUUCUCCAUGUAUUGCCUUAUCAAAGAGUCGAGUUGUUUGGGAAUGCAGCUCAAAGUGGGUGGUAAACUCCAUCUAAAGCUAAAUACUGGUGAGAGACCGAUAGCGAACAAGUACUGUGAAGGAAAGGUGAAAAGAACUUUGAAAAGAGAGUGAAAUAGUAUGUGAAAUUGUUGAUAGGGAAGGAAAUGAGUGGAGAGUGGCCGAGGUUUCAGCCG
rnacentral:rRNA from 1 species